GACGAACGCUGGCGGCGUGCUUAACACAUGCAAGUCGAACGAUGAACCGGAGCUUGCUCUGGGGAUUAGUGGCGAACGGGUGAGUAACACGUGGGCAACCUGCCCCAGACACCGGGAUAACCAUUCGAAAGGAUGGCUAAUACCGGAUACGACCACUUCGGGCAUCAGAUGGGGGUGGAAAGGAUUCUGGUCUGGGAUGGGCCCGCGGCCUAUCAGCUUGUUGGUGGGGUAAUGGCCUACCAAGGCGACGACGGGUAGCCGGCCUGAGAGGGCGACCGGGCACACUGGGAAUGAGACACCGCCCAGACUCCUACGGGAGGCAGCAGUGGGGAAGAUUGCGCAAUGGGCGAAAGCCUGACGCAGCGACGCCGCGUGAGGGACGAAGGUCUUCGGAUUGUAAACCUCUUUCAGCAGGGAUGAAGCGAAAGUGACAGUACCUGCAGAAGAAGCACCGGCUAACUACGUGCCAGCAGCCGCGGUAAAAC
rnacentral:rRNA from 1 species